rnacentral:rRNA from 1 species
AACGCGUGGGAACGUGCCCUUCUCUGCGGAAUAGCCUCGGGAAACUGAGAGUAAUACCGCAUACGCCCUUCGGGGGAAAGAUUUAUCGGAGAAGGAUCGGCCCGCGUUAGAUUAGGUAGUUGGUGGGGUAAUGGCCUACCAAGCCUACGAUCUAUAGCUGGUUUUAGAGGAUGAUCAGCCACACUGGGACUGAGACACGGCCCAGACUCCUACGGGAGGCAGCAGUGGGGAAUCUUAGACAAUGGGCGCAAGCCUGAUCUAGCCAUGCCGCGUGAGUGAUGAAGGCCUUAGGGUCGUAAAGCUCUUUCGCCUGUGAAGAUAAUGACGGUAGCAGGUAAAGAAACCCCGGCUAACUCCGUGCCAGCAGCCGCGGUAAUACGGAGGGGGUUAGCGUUGUUCGGAAUUACUGGGCGUAAAGCGCGCGUAGGCGGACUAGUCAGUCAGGGGUGAAAUCCCGGGGCUCAACCCCGGAACUGCCUUUGAUACUGCUAGUCUUGAGUUCGAGAGAGGUGAGUGGAAUUCCGAGUGUAGAGGUGAAAUUCGUAGAUAUUCGGAAGAACACCAGUGGCGAAGGCGGCUCACUGGCUCGAUACUGA